rnacentral:rRNA from 1 species
AUGGACUGGGCAGCUGCUAGCACCACAUUAUUCUCAGUAGUUCUUUUUUCAAUAGUAACUGUGGUAGCCGCCAAGCUUCUAAAAGCAAAAAACAAGUUCAAUAAUCAUGUGUAUACAAGACCACUUCCUCCUGUGGUGAAUGUCCUAGCUCUCAUACCUCCGCUUCUUAACAAGAGCUUGCAAGCUACGAUCCAGGAUCUAUACACAAAGUUUGGCAGCGUGUUCACCAUAAACUUUCUUGGACCGAAGGUGACCCUGUUGAUUGGACCGGAGGUGUCAGCUCAUUUCUUUCAAGGGCUGGACUCAGAGAUUAGCUGGGGUAAUUUGUUGGAGUUCACCAUUCCAAUGUAUGGUCAAGAGGUUGGGUAUGGGGUAGACACGGCGACUCGCAAUGAACACUCAAACUUCAUUAUUCAAGCACUACAGCCAUCCAAGUUGAGGAGCCAUGUUGAUCCCAUAUUUCAAGAAGUGGAGGCCUACUUUGCAAAGUGGGGACAAGAUGGCACAGUUGAUCUUAAACAUGAACUUGAGCAGGUGCUCAUGCUGACCUCUAGUCGGUGCUUACUAGCAGAUGUGGUUCGGCAUCAAAUGAUACUAACUGAAAUCUAUUCAUUGCUUCAUGAACUUGAGAAUGGCGCAAACAUUAUCAGUUUCUUAUUCCCGUAUAUUCCAACACCGACAAACCGCCGACGUGACAAGGCACACAUCAAACUGAAAGAAAUAUUCUCUGCCGCAGUUAGGUCACGCAGCCAAGCACAGGAGGAUGCAUUACAGAGGCUAAUUGAUUCCAAGUACAAGGAUGGUCGCCCCACGACCAUAGCAGAAAUCUCCGGUAUGAUGAUCAUCCUCAUUUCUACUUCAAGACACACCAGUUCUCACACUAGUAUAUGGACUGGAGCUCGCUUGCUGAGCAACACCAAGUUCUUAAAGGCGGCCGUCGAGGAGCAAAAACAUAUCAUUUGUAAGUACGGCAACCAGAUAGACCACCAUGCCUUGUCAGAGAUGGAUACCCUGCACAAUUGCAUCAAGGAGGCACUUAGGAUGCACCCAGCAGGGCCAGUGUUAUUUCGGAAGGCACAUAAGACAUUCAACGUGCACACCAAGGAAGGAAAUGAAUAUGACAUACCAGGAGGUCAUAACGUCAUAAUCCCGACUGUAUUUAACAGCAAGCUGCCAUACAUUUACAAGGACCCUAGGGUGUAUGACCCUGAUCGGUUUAGUCCUGGGAGACAGGAGGACAAAGUUGGUGGCAAGUUCUCGUACACAUCAUUUGGUGGUGGAAGGCAUAUUUGCCCUGGGAUGGCCUUUGCUUAUCUGCAAAUUAAACUGAUAUGGAGCCAUCUUCUAAGAAACUUUGAGCUCGAGCUAAUGUCUUCUUUCCCAAAGGCAGACUGGAGCAAGAUAACUCCAGCGCCUAAAGGAAAAGUAAUGAUAAGUUACAAGAGACGUCAGCUGCAUUGA